rnacentral:rRNA from 1 species
CGAACGGGUGAGUAACACGUGAGUAACCUGCCCUUGACUCUGGGAUAAGCCUGGGAAACUGGGUCUAAUACUGGAUAUGACUUCUCACCGCAUGGUGAGGAGUGGAAAGAUUUAUUGGUCUUGGAUGGACUCGCGGCCUAUCAGCUUGUUGGUGAGGUAAUGGCUCACCAAGGCGACGACGGGUAGCCGGCCUGAGAGGGUGACCGGCCACACUGGGACUGAGACACGGCCCAGACUCCUACGGGAGGCAGCAGUGGGGAAUAUUGCACAAUGGGCGCAAGCCUGAUGCAGCGACGCCGCGUGAGGGAUGACGGCCUUCGGGUUGUAAACCUCUUUCAGUAGGGAAGAAGCGAAAGUGACGGUACCUGCAGAAGAAGCGCCGGCUAACUACGUGCCAGCAGCCGCGGUAAUACGUAGGGCGCGAGCGUUAUCCGGAAUUAUUGGGCGUAAAGAGCUCGUAGGCGGUUUGUCGCGUCUGCCGUGAAAGUCCGGGGCUUAACCCCGGAUCUGCGGUGGGUACGGGCAGACUAGAGUGCAGUAGGGGAGACUGGAAUUCCUGGUGUAGCGGUGAAAUGCGCAGAUAUCAGGAGGAACACCGAUGGCGAAGGCAGGUCUCUGGGCUGUAACUGACGCUGAGGAGCGAAAGCAUGGGGAGCGAACAGGAUUAGAUACCCUGGUAGUCCAUGCCGUAAACGUUGGGCACUAGGUGUGGGGGACAUUCCACGUUUUCCGCGCCGUAGCUAACGCAUUAAGUGCCCCGCCCUGGGAGUACGGCCGCAAGGCUAAAACUCAAAGGA